rnacentral:rRNA from 1 species
AACGAACGCUGGCGGCAUGCCUAACACAUGCAAGUCGAACGAGACCUUCGGGUCUAGUGGCGCACGGGUGCGUAACGCGUGGGAACCUGCCCUUAGGUUCGGAAUAACUCCCCGAAAGGGGUGCUAAUACCGGAUAAUGUCUUCGGACCAAAGAUUUAUCGCCUGUGGAUGGGCCCGCGUUGGAUUAGCUAGGUGGUAGGGUAAAAGCCUACCACGGCGACGAUCCAUAGCUGGUCUGAGAGGAUGAUCAGCCACACUGGGACUGAGACACGGCCCAGACUCCUACGGGAGGCAGCAGUAGGGAAUAUUGGACAAUGGGCGAAAGCCUGAUCCAGCAAUGCCGCGUGAGUGAUGAAGGCCUUAGGGUUGUAAAGCUCUUUUACCCGGGAUGAUAAUGACAGUACCGGGAGAAUAAGCACCGGCUAACUCCGUG